rnacentral:rRNA from 1 species
GACGAACGCUGGCGGCGUGCUUAACACAUGCAAGUCGAACGGAAAGGCCCUGCUUGCAGGGUACUCGAGUGGCGAACGGGUGAGUAACACGUGGGUGAUCUGCCCUGCACUUCGGGAUAAGCCUGGCAAACUGGGUCUAAUACCGGAUAGGAGCCAUUUUUAGUGUGAUGGUUGGAAAGUUUUUUCGGUGUAGGAUGAGCUCGCGGCCUAUCAGCUUGUUGGUGGGGUAAUGGCCUACCAAGGCGGCGACGGGUAGCCGGCCUGAGAGGGUGGACGGCCACAUUGGGACUGAGAUACGGCCCAGACUCCUACGGGAGGCAGCAGUGGGGAAGAUUGCACAAUGGGCGCAAGCCUGAUGCAGCGACGCCGCGUGGGGGAUGACGGCCUUCGGGUUGGAAACUCCUUUCGCUAGGGACGAAGCUUUUUGUGACGGUACCUAGAUAAGAAGCACCGGCUAACUACGUG